rnacentral:rRNA from 1 species
GACGAGCGCUGGCGGCGUGCUUAACACAUGCAAGUCGAACGGAAAGGCCCUGCUUUUGUGGGGUGCUCGAGUGGCGAACGGGUGAGUAACACGUGAGUAACCUGCCCUUGACUUUGGGAUAACUUCAGGAAACUGGGGCUAAUACCGGAUAGGAGCUCCUGCUGCAUGGUGGGGGUUGGAAAGUUUCGGCGGUUGGGGAUGGACUCGCGGCUUAUCAGCUUGUUGGUGGGGUAGUGGCUUACCAAGGCUUUGACGGGUAGCCGGCCUGAGAGGGUGACCGGCCACAUUGGGACUGAGAUACGGCCCAGACUCCUACGGGAGGCAGCAGUGGGGAAUAUUGCGCAAUGGGCGGAAGCCUGAUGCAGAAACGCCGCGUGCGGGACGACGGCCUUCGGGUUGUAAACCGCUUUCGCCUGUGACGAAGCGUGAGUGACGGUAAUGGGUAAAGAAGCACCGGCUAACUACGUG